rnacentral:rRNA from 1 species
CUCCUACGGGGGGCAGCAGUGGGGAAUAUUGCACAAUGGGGGGAACCCUGAUGCAGCGAUGCCGCGUGAAGGAAGAAGAUUUUCGGAUCGUAAACUUCUAUCAGCAAGGAAGAAAAAGGACAGUACUUGACUAAGCAGCCCCGGCUAACUACGUGCCAGCAGCCGCGGUAAUACGUAGGGGGCAAGCGUUAUCCGGAUUUACUGGGUGUAAAGGGAGCGUAGACGGCGAUGCAAGCCAGAUGUGAAAGCCCGGGGCUCAACCCCGGGACUGCAUUUGGAACUGUGUGGCUGGAGUGUCGGAGAGG